CUACGGGCGGCAGCAGUGGGGAAUAUUGCACAAUGGGCGCAAGCCUGAUGCAGCCAUGCCGCGUGUGUGAAGAAGGCCUUCGGGUUGUAAAGCACUUUCAGCGGGGAGGAAGGCGGUGAGGUUAAUAACCUCAUCGAUUGACGUUACCCGCAGAAGAAGCACCGGCUAACUCCGUGCCAGCAGCCGCGGUAAUACGGAGGGUGCAAGCGUUAAUCGGAAUUACUGGGCGUAAAGCGCACGCAGGCGGUCUGUCAAGUCGGAUGUGAAAUCCCCGGGCUCAACCUGGGAACUGCAUUCGAAACUGGCAGGCUAGAGUCUUGUAGAGGGGGGUAGAAUUCCAGGUGUAGCGGUGAAAUGCGUAGAGAUCUGGAGGAAUACCGGUGGCGAAGGCGGCCCCCUGGACAAAGACUGACGCUCAGGUGCGAAAGCGUGGGGAGCAAACAGGAUUAAUACCCGGGUAGUC
rnacentral:rRNA from 1 species